GGCGCUUACAAGUACCCUUUUUAACAUUUAGCUCUACUUGGUGUAGUUGGAACUGGCUGCUACAAUGUAUCCAGAGGAACCAAGUGAAACAAAUUUGCCAGCCUUACAGUUUCAGAUGUAUAACUACGGAGUCAGUCUCAGACUCCAUAUAUGUGAUGAAAUGAAUGCUAAAGUUCAUGCAGCUAACUGAAACGUAUUAUACAAUAACACCAGCUCUAUACAUUUCAUUAGAACAUGUUUUUUGAGGACCAUUUUGUGGUUUACAAUAGGCUC